rnacentral:rRNA from 1 species
GACGAACGCUGGCGGCGUGCCUAAUACAUGCAAGUAGAACGCUGAAGCUUGGUGCUUGCACCGAGCGGAUGAGUUGCGAACGGGUGAGUAACGCGUAGGUAACCUGCCUGGUAGCGGGGGAUAACUAUUGGAAACGAUAGCUAAUACCGCAUAAGAGUAGAUGUUGCAUGACAUUUGCUUAAAAGGUGCAAUUGCAUCACUACCAGAUGGACCUGCGUUGUAUUAGCUAGUUGGUGAGGUAACGGCUCACCAAGGCAACGAUACAUAGCCGACCUGAGAGGGGGAGCGGACAAACUGCGACUGAGACACAGCCCAGACUCCUACGGGAGGAAGCAGUAGGGAAUCUUCGGCAAUGGACGGAAGUCUGACCGAGCAACGCCGCGUGAGUGAAGAAGGUUUUCGGAUCGUAAAGCUCUGUUGUAAGAGAAGAACGAGUGUGAGAGUGGAAAGUUCACACUGUGACGGUAUCUUACCAGAAAGGGAGGGCUAACUACGUG